CCUACAGCAGACUGCGGAGGACAUUAACGAGUUUUGAAAUGGGUUGUAGCUGGCCUUCCGAGGCAUGUGCACACCCUGCUCAUCCACUCUACACCUGUGCACUUACUGUAGGUUUCGAGGAGCAGCGCGGGCUCUGCUCGCGAGGUUCCUCGGGCCUACGUUUUACUACAAACGCUUUAGUAUCAGAAUGUGUAUUGCGAUGUAACGCAUCUAUGUACAACUUUCAGCAACGGAUCUCUUGGCUCUCGCAUCGAUGAAGAACGCAGCGAAAUGCGAUAAGUAAUGUGAAUUGCAGAAUUCAGUGAAUCAUCGAAUCUUUGAACGCACCUUGCGCUCCUUGGUAUUCCGAGGAGCAUGCCUGUUUGAGUGUCGUGAAAUUCUCAACCUACAAUCCCUUUGCGGUUUUGUAGGCUUGGACUUGGAGGCUUUGCUGGCCCUCGUGGUCGGCUCCUCUCAAAUGCAUUAGCUCGAUUCCUUGCGGAACGGCUCUCGGUGUGAUAGUUGUCUACGCCGCGAUCGUGAAGCAUUUGGCGGGCUUCUAACUGUCUUUGAGGAGACAAUUUAUUGACAUCUGACCUCAAAUCAGGUAGGACUACCCGCUGAACUUAAGCAUAUCAAAGCC
rnacentral:rRNA from 1 species